rnacentral:rRNA from 1 species
GAACGCGAAGAACCUUACCUGGGUUUUAACUGGGGGGAAAAACCGCGGAGAUGGGGUGUCUUUUGGGGCCCUCCACAGGUGGUGCAAGGCUGUCGUCAGCUCGUGUCGUGAGAUGUUGGGUUAAGUCCCGCAACGAGCGCCACCCCUGUUCCUAGUUGCCCGCGGGUUAUGCCGGGGACUCUAGGGAGACUGCCGGGGUCAAAUCGGAGGAAGGUGGGGAAGGCGGCAAGUCAUCAUGCCCCUUAUGUCCAGGGCUUCAACCCUGCUACAAUGGGCGGUACAAAGGGGUGCGAUACCGCGAGGGGGAGCCAAUCCCAAAAAGCCGGUUUCAGUUUGGAUUGGGGUCUGCAAAUUGGCCUCCUGGAAUCGGAGAUGGCUGGUAACCGCGAUACAGCAAGGU